rnacentral:rRNA from 1 species
GCGCUUUUGGAGCGGCCGAUGCCUGAUUAGCUAGUUGGUGAGGUAAAGGCUCACCAAGGCUUCGAUCAGUAGCUGGUCUGAGAGGACGACCAGCCACACUGGGACUGAGACACGGCCCAGACUCCUACGGGAGGCAGCAGUGGGGAAUUUUGGACAAUGGGGGAAACCCUGAUCCAGCCAUGCCGCGUGAGUGAAGAAGGCCUUCGGGUUGUAAAGCUCUUUCAGCCGGAACGAAACGGUCACGGCUAAUACCCGUGACAACUGACGGUACCGGAAGAAGAAGCACCGGCUAACUACGUGCCAGCAGCCGCGGUAAUACGUAGGGUGCGAGCGUUAAUCGGAAUUACUGGGCGUAAAGCGUGCGCAGGCGGUUUUGUAAGUCAGAUGUGAAAUCC